rnacentral:rRNA from 1 species
CCUACGGGAGGCAGCAGUGAGGAAUAUUGGUCAAUGGCCGAGAGGCUGAACCAGCCAAGUCGCGUGAGGGAAGAAUGUCCUAUGGAUUGUAAACCUCUUUUGUCAGGGAGCAAAGUCACCCACGUGUGGGAGUUGGAGAGUACCUGAAGAAAAAGCAUCGGCUAACUCCGUGCCAGCAGCCGCGGUAAUACGGAGGAUGCGAGCGUUAUCCGGAUUUAUUGGGUUUAAAGGGUGCGUAGGCGGGUUAUCAAGUCAGCGGUAAAAUCGUGGAGCUCAACUCCAUCCAGCCGUUGAAACUGAUGGUCUUGAGUGGGCGAGAAGUAUGCGGAAUGCGUGGUGUAGCGGUGAAAUGCAUAGAUAUCACGCAGAACUCCGAUUGCGAAGGCAGCAUACCGGCGCCCGACUGACGCUGAAGCACGAAAGCGUGGGUAUCGAACAGGAUUAGAUACCCCAGUAGUC